UCAGGGAGAAGUCUCUUCGGGGAUGAUUAAACCGGCGCACGGGUGAGUAACACGUGAGUGACCUGCCUUUUAGACUGGAACAACUUACCGAAAGGUGAGCUAAUGCCGGAUGAGUUAUAUAAGUGCAUGUUUAUAUAGGAAAAGUUGGGGAGACCUGACGCUGAAAGAUGGACUCGCGUCCCAUUAGCUAGUUGGUAGGGUAAUGGCCUACCAAGGCGACGAUGGGUAGCCGGCCUGAGAGGGUGGCCGGCCACACUGGGACUGAGACACGGCCCAGACUCCUACGGGAGGCAGCAGUGGGGAAUUUUGCGCAAUGCUCGUAAGAGUGACGCAGCGACGCCGCGUGAAUGACGAAGGCCUUCGGGUCGUAAAGUUCUUUCGACAGGGAAGAAAAUGCCUAUAAGUAACUGUGUAUGUAUUGACGGUACCUGUAUAAGCAGCCCCGGCUAACUCCGUGCCAGCAGCCGCGGUAAUACGGAGGGGGCGAGCGUUGUUCGGAGUGACUGGGCGUAAAGAGCACGUAGGCGGUGUUGUAAGUCAUUAGUCAAAGACUAGAGCUCAACUUUAGUAAGGCUAGUGAUACUAUAAUACUAGAGUAUCAGAGAGGAUUGCAGAAUUCCUGGUGUAGCGGUGAAAUGCGUAGAUAUCAGGAGGAAUACCGUUAGCGAAGGCGGCAAUCUGGCUGGAAACUGACGCUGAGGUGCGAAAGCGUGGGUAGCAAACAGGAUUAGAUACCCUGGUAGUCCACGCUGUAAACGAUGGAUGCUAGGUGUUGGGCUUUUAAGUUC
rnacentral:rRNA from 1 species